AGACCCGAAACCCGGUGAUCUAGCCAUGGGCAGGUUGAAGGUUGGGUAACACUAACUGGAGGACCGAACCGACUAAUGUUGAAAAAUUAGCGGAUGACCUGUGGCUGGGGGUGAAAGGCCAAUCAAACCGGGAGAUAGCUGGUUCUCCCCGAAAGCUAUUUAGGUAGCGCCUCGUGAAUUCAUCUCCGGGGGUAGAGCACUGUUUCGGCUAGGGGGCCAUCCCGGCUUACCAACCCGAUGCAAACUGCGAAUACCGGAGAAUGUUAUCACGGGAGACACACGGCGGGUGCUAACGUCCGUCGUGAAGAGGGAAACAACCCAGACCGCCAGCUAAGGUCCCAAAGUCAUGGUUAAGUGGGAAACGAUGUGGGAAGGCCCAGACAGCCAGGAUGUUGGCUUAGAAGCAGCCAUCAUUUAAAGAAAGCGUAAUAGCUCACUGGUCGAGUCGGCCUGCGCGGAAGAUGUAACGGGGCUAAACCAUGCACCGAAGCUGCGGCAGCGAACGUAUCACCCAAGACAACUUUACGGAGUUGACGAUUGACGGAGCGAAGCGACGUCAAAGCGUUCAUUAAAGUCGAGUUGGCUUAGGGAUACGUUCGUUGGGUAGGGGAGCGUUCUGUAAGCCUGUGAAGGUGUGUCGUGAGGCAUGCUGGAGGUAUCAGAAGUGCGAAUGCUGACAUAAGUAACGAUAAAGCGGGUGAAAAGCCCGCUCGCCGGAAGACCAAGGGUUCCUGUCCAACGUUAAUCGGGGCAGGGUGAGUCGACCCCUAAGGCGAGGCCGAAAGGCGUAGUCGAUGGGAAACGGGUUAAUAUUCCCGUACUUGGUGUUACUGCGAAGGGGGGACGGAGAAGGCUAUGUUGGCCGGGCGACGGUUGUCCCGGUUUAAGCGUGUAGGUGUGUGUUCCAGGUAAAUCCGGUUCACUUUAACACUGAGGCGUGACGACGAGGCACUACGGUGCUGAAGCAACAAAUGCCCUGCUUCCAGGAAAAGCCUCUAAGCAUCAGGUAACAUCAAAUCGUACCCCAAACCGACACAGGUGGUCAGGUAGAGAAUACCAAGGCGCUUGAGAGAACUCGGGUGAAGGAACUAGGCAAAAUGGUGCCGUAACUUCGGGAGAAGGCACGCUGACACGUAGGUGAAGUGAUUUACUCACGGAGCUGAAGUCAGUCGAAGAUACCAGCUGGCUGCAACUGUUUAUUAAAAACACAGCACUGUGCAAACACGAAAGUGGACGUAUACGGUGUGACGCCUGCCCGGUGCCGGAAGGUUAAUUGAUGGGGUCAGCGCAAGCGAAGCUCCUGAUCGAAGCCCCGGUAAACGGCGGCCGUAACUAUAACGGUCCUAAGGUAGCGAAAUUCCUUGUCGGGUAAGUUCCGACCUGCACGAAUGGCGUAAUGAUGGCCAGGCUGUCUCCACCCGAGACUCAGUGAAAUUGAACUCGCUGUGAAGAUGCAGUGUACCCGCGGCAAGACGGAAAGACCCCGUGAACCUUUACUAUAGCUUGACACUGAACAUUGAGCCUUGAUGUGUAGGAUAGGUGGGAGGCUUUGAAGUGUGGACGCCAGUCUGCAUGGAGCCGACCUUGAAAUACCACCCUUUAAUGUUUGAUGUUCUAACGUGGACCCGUUA
rnacentral:rRNA from 1 species